AUGCACGCUGGCGGCGUGCCUAAUACAUGCAAGUCGAGCGAACAGACGAGGAGCUUGCUCCUCUGACGUUAGCGGCGGACGGGUGAGUAACACGUGGAUAACCUACCUAUAAGACUGGGAUAACUUCGGGAAACCGGAGCUGAUACCGGAUAAUAUAUUGAACCGCAUGGUUCAAUAGUGAAAGACGGUUUUGCUGUCACUUAUAGAUGGAUCCGCGCCGCAUUAGCUAGUUGGUAAGGUAACGGCUUACCAAGGCAACGAUGCGUAGCCGACCUGAGAGGGUGAUCGGCCACACUGGAACUGAGACACGGUCCAGACUCCUACGGGAGGCAGCAGUAGGGAAUCUUCCGCAAUGGGCGAAAGCCUGACGGAGCAACGCCGCGUGAGUGAUGAAGGUCUUCGGAUCGUAAAACUCUGUUAUUAGGGAAGAACAAAUGUGUAAGUAACUAUGCACGUCUUGACGGUACCUAAUCAGAAAGCCACGGCUAACUACGUG
rnacentral:rRNA from 1 species